UACGAAGGGGGCUAGCGUUGUUCGGAGUUACUGGGCGUAAAGGGCGCGUAGGCGGCGCACCAAGUCAGGCGUGAAAGCCCUGGGCUCAACCCGGGAAUUGCGCUUGAGACUGGUGUGCUCGAGUACGGGAGAGGAUAGUGGAAUUCCCAGUGUAGAGGUGAAAUUCGUAGAUAUUGGGAAGAACACCGGUGGCGAAGGCGGCUAUCUGGACACAUAUUGACGCUGAGGUGCGAAAGCGUGGGGAGCAAACAGG
rnacentral:rRNA from 1 species